UACGUAGGUGGCCAGCGUUGUCCGGAUUUACUGGGCGUAAAGAGCGCGCAGGCGGUCGUUCAAGUCGAGUGUGAAAGCCCCCGGCUCAACUGGGGAGGGUCACUCGAUACUGAUCGACUGGAGGGCAGGAGAGGGAAGCGGAAUUCCCGGUGUAGUGGUGAAAUGCGUAGAUAUCGGGAGGAACACCAGUGGCGAAGGCGGCUUCCUGGCCUGUUCUUGACGCUGAGGCGCGAAAGCUAGGGGAGCAAACAGG
rnacentral:rRNA from 1 species